CCUACGGGUGGCAGCAGUGGGGAAUAUUGCACAAUGGGGGAAACCCUGAUGCAGCGACGCCGCGUGAGUGAAGAAGGAAUUCGUUAUGUAAAGCUCUAUCAGCAGGGAAGAAAAUGACGGUACCUGAGUAAGAAGCCACGGCUAACUACGUGCCAGCAGCCGCGGUAAUACGUAGGGGGCAAGCGUUAUCCGGAUUUACUGGGUGUAAUGGGAGCGUAGACGGCAGUGCAAGUCUGGAGUGAAAGGCGGGGGCUCAACCCCCGGACUGCUCUGGAAACUGUACGGCUGGAGUGCAGGAGAGGUAAGUGGAAUUCCUAGUGUAGCGGUGAAAUGCGUAGAUAUUAGGAGGAACACCAGUGGCGAAGGCGGCCUGCUGGGCUUUUACUGACGCUGAUGCUCGAAAGUGUGGGGAGCAAACAGGAUUAGAUACCCCUGUAGUC
rnacentral:rRNA from 1 species